rnacentral:lncRNA from 1 species
GUUUAUCUUCCUCGCCCCCCACCCCCCGAGAGACCUUAAACCCAUACUCUCCGUUCCUUGGUUGUCCCUCUGUUCACCUUCCUGGAGAGCUUAAGCCCCAUCCCCCAAGAAAUAGCCCCACCGCGGACCUUCCGCCCUGCACCCGCACUGUCGGGCCACUUUGUAAACGGAAAAAGAAGGACACGCAGGGCUUUGGGGAGGAGUCCAGGGAGCCCAGCACAGGUGACAACAUCCGGGAAUUCUUGCUGAGCCUCAGAUACUUUCGAAUCUUCAUCGCCCUGUGGAACAUCUUCAUGAUGUUCUGCAUGAUUGUGCUGUUCGGCUCUUGAAUCCCAGCGAUGAAACCAGGAACUCACUUUCCCGGGAUGCCGAGUCUCCAUUCCUCCAUUCCUGAUGACUUCAAGAAUGUUUUUGACCAGAAAACCGACAACCUUCCCAGAAAGUCCAAGCUCGUGGUGGGUGGAAAAGUGUUCGCCGAGGUGUGCAUGGUUUCCCAGCCACGUCCCUGUUUUCAAAGAUAGUUUCACUUUGGUCUCUGAAUUGAAAUGCUGUCUACUGAAAGGGUUUCAGGAGCGUUUAUGUAAGGGGCUGUGAUGAAAUUGCAUUCCCCAUAGAUAAAAGAAAAAUCAUUUCUAUCCAGAGAUCUGAGCAGAAGGAUUGGCUUGUUAGUUUAACACAGCCGUAUUUUUGGACAUUCAGUGUUACUUGCUGAGUCUGACAGCCUCUGGGCCCGGCCAGGGGCCCUGUUAACAAACUGCUUUCACAUCCCAACAGGGUCUGCUUGGCCACUCAGUGCAGCUGCGAUUAACCCUAAAGGCUUUAAGGAACGGGCCACCUGUAACAGAGACACCAGCCUUCCUGUAUAGACACUAAAUUGUUAGCAAGAGUGUUGAGCUAGUUCCUGGUGAAGUGUUUCCACAGAAGACAUGUGGAGCAGUUGUGGGGAUAUUAAGGGAAACUUUCCUCUGCCUUGACCCCUUUGUUAAAUAAAAUGACUUUGGGAGCCAUUCAUUGUACAGUUGCAGGAAUGAGAGUGAUUUUAUGAUGUGGUACAUUGGGACCAUGUUCUAAAACCUUGGGUUUCUGAGUCUGCUUUUUGAGUAGGUGAUUUUGAGGUUGAAA